CAGCACACACUCAAGCAGGGCCGGAGGGUGAGACAAACAAAGGAGAACAAAAGCUCUUACAGACUCUUCCUGGAUUCGCUCGACUCUCGGAUUAUAGAAGCUGAGAGAGGGAAAUGGCAGCAAGGACUAAGUCCCUGUCGAAGGAUUUGGUAACAGAGCAGAGAGGAGAAGUUCAGAAAGUUGGAUUCCUUAGAAAGAAAGGCCACGUUCGAAGGAACUGGCUGGAUAGAUGGUUCGUGCUAACAACGGAAGGACUUUACUAUUAUAAGAAUAGAAGUGUCAGUAUAAUAUCUAUCAGGGGCAUGAAUAAUGUUUCUUUGAAUAGGAUGCAAAGCCUGUUGGUGUAGUACCUCUAUUUAGUGCAUCAGUGAAUGAAGAUACCUUACAAAGACACCAAAACGUCCUUACAGUCUGCACUGUAGAGGGCAAGGAUUAUCACAUACAAGCAAGCACUAGGGAUGAGAUGCUGAUGUGGAUUCAAUACAUUGAUAACAUUAUUAAAGACAGAAGUAAACAGCCACCAAACUAUCAAGCAGGGGUGACUCAGAACCCGGCCGCUGCAAGCAAAUCUGCAAGAACCCCGUCCAGUAGUUCGAAACCUUCGUCAGAACCAAUACCCUCACAUGGCUCGAGAGGCGGAACCAAACGCAAUAGUGAUUCUGAAGAAUCGGAGGAAGAUUAGUCAUUUAUUCCAGUUGCGAUCACAUUCUGAUAUUAUUAUACUAAACUACAGAACUGAGCUAUUGUUGUCAUACUAUUACUACUAUUGAUGAUGUUAUAAGUGAAUGCCAUAAUAAUUUAAUAAUUAUAAAAUAUUUUAAUAUUAUUAUUUUCUACUAUAUACGUUAUUAUUUUGUGUUACUAGUGUACUGAAGUUAUUUUGCCCUAAUAAAUAUAAUUGCAAAAAUUGGAUUAUUCAUCAA